GAUGAAGAACGUAGUGAAAUGCGAUAACUAAUGUGAAUUGCAGAAUUCAGUGAAUCAUCGAGUCUUUGAACGCACAUUGCGCCCCCUGGUAUUCCGGGGGGCAUGCCUGUCCGAGCGUCAUUGCUGCCCUCAAGCACGGCUUGUGUGUUGGGCUCCGUCCCCCCGGGGACGGGCCCGAAAGGCAGCGGCGGCACCGAGUCCGGUCCUCGAGCGUAUGGGGCUUUGUCCCCCGCUCUGUAGGCCCGGCCGGCGCCAGCCGACAACCCAUCAUCCUUUUCAGGUUGACCUCGGAUCAGGUAGGGAUACCCGCUGAACUUAAGCAUAUCAAUAAGCGGAGGA
rnacentral:misc_RNA from 1 species